rnacentral:rRNA from 1 species
GAUGAACGCUAGCGGCAGGCCUAAUACAUGCAAGUCGGACGGGAUUUGGGAGCUUGCUCCCAAUGAGAGUGGCGCACGGGUGCGUAACACGUAUGUAACCUACCUUAAUCAGGGGGAUAGCCUCUCGAAAGAGAGAUUAACACCGCAUAAUAUAUUUUUAUGGCAUCGUAGAAAUAUCAAAUAUUUAUAGGAUUAAGAUGGGCAUGCGGAACAUUAGCUAGUUGGUAAGGUAACGGCUUACCAAGGCUACGAUGUUUAGGGGAUCUGAGAUGAGGAACCCCCACACUGAUACUGAGACACUGACCAGACUCGUACGGGGGGCAGCAGUAAGGAAUAUUGGUAAAUGGGCGCAAGCCUGAACCAGCCAUGCCGCGUGCAGGAAUACGGCCCUAUGGGUUGUAAACUGCUUUUGUACCGGAAUAAACCCUUUUACGUGUAAAAGGCUGAAUGUACGGUAAGAAUAAGGAUCGGCUAACUCCGUGCCAGCAGCCGCCGUAA